AGAAUUACCUCAGGAUGGAGAUGAACUGCCACAAGUUGGUGAUAACCAAGAAGAUAUCCAAGUCAUUAAUGCUAAAAUUUGGAAGUGGUCAAAUGGAAAAGAAGGGAGCAUCCGUUCCCUCCUCUCAACUUUACAAUAUGUACUUUGGCCUGAAAGCGGGUGGAAGCCUGUGCCUCUUGUUGAUAUAAUUGAAGGAAAUGCAGUGAAAAGAUCAUACCAGAAGGCCUUACUCAGUCUACACCCAGAUAAACUACAGCAGAAAGGUGCUGCAUCACAUCAAAAAUACAUAGCAGAAAAAGUUUUCGAUAUUCUGCAGGAAGCAUGGACCCAUUUCAACUCACUCGAUUCAGUGUGACCAAUGAAGUCUCAACUCUCAAACUACGAGAAUUUAUUCAGUGCAACCGUUAUAUAUGCAAUAAAUACAUCUAAUCAUUGAUUAUGAUAGAUCUACAUGAACCCGUCAUGAUCAAUGGUCACAAUAUAUCGAUUACAUACUACAAAUAAGUGUUAACAUAUUAUAUUGAUAGGCUUGUGAGAAAACUACAUUUUGGACUCUGUGUAGGUAUUUUGUG
rnacentral:misc_RNA from 1 species